rnacentral:rRNA from 1 species
UACAGAGGGGGCAAGCGUUGUUCGGAAUUACUGGGCGUAAAGGGCGCGUAGGCGGCCUGCUAAGUCGAACGUGAAAUCCCCGGGCUCAACCCGGGAACUGCGUCCGAUACUGGCAGGCUUGAAUCCGGGAGAGGGAUGCGGAAUUCCAGGUGUAGCGGUGAAAUGCGUAGAUAUCUGGAGGAACACCGGUGGCGAAGGCGGCCAUCUGGACGGAUACUGACGCUGAGACGCGAAAGCGUGGGGAGCAAACAGG